AAGUAAAUGGCUGUGGCAAGCCAAACUUGGAGCUCGAUGCCUCCAUUUCAGUCCCUACGCAUCUAGUAGCCCUCUCCCAAAAGCUCGCAGCUUUGCAUUUGAAUCCGCAUACAAUCUUGGUUGUACAUUUGACUGGUGAAGAAUCAAAGACCAUUCUCCACUGUUCCAGACUGAAAACUCACCUGUUGAUAUAAAACUUGCUGUAAACAAUGACUCAAGUAAAGAACUUGAUCAAUUGAAUGGACAUGCAAAAUAAAUGAUCAAUUUGAGUUUCAAUGUUAGUUUGUUUUAGAUAGUUACUUAAAUGGCAUUUGGUUCUUGGCAAUGCAA